AUCUCACACCCCAGGACUAGGGGCGCUGUCUCUUUGGUGCCAGUAUUCCAAGCGGCAUCCCUGCUCGGGGGGGAUGGAUGGACACAGAGGGUUCUGCCAGUUGGGGUUGUCCCGGCCGAUGGCUGCCAACUGGAUACAGAGGAGGGAAGGCUCAACGUUCAGCAGUCACGUCUGCUUUUCUCUGGCAGAGGGUGAGCUAGCCUGGGGGAUGGGGGGACAGGGACAGUGUUCUCCAGGACAGCCAGGUGGUAGGAAACAUCAGUGGGCAGAACAGUGACCAGAAGAGCUACCACCACUGGGUGCUUUCUGGGAGCUGGGCACUGUGCUCUUCGUGUUAUGGGCCAAACUCGUGCUUCCCUCACCGUCACCCAGGGAGGGAGGGGUAUCGUUCCGUUCUCCAGCUGGGAAGAGAUGAGGCUCCAGGAAGUGACUGAUAGUUGUCCAAGGCUACCCAGUAGAGGGAGGUGGAGCCAGGAUUUGAACCCAAGUCUGCCUCACUCCAAGAUUAUUCCUGAGAUGUCUUUGACCCAGGUGUUACUUAGAAGCGGGUUACUUAAUCUCCAGAUACUUGUGGGUUUUCCAGCUCGCCUUCUGUUAUUGAUUUCUAGUUCAGUUUCACUGUGGUCUAGGAUCAUGCUUUGUAUGAUUUCUUCUUUCUUUUUUUUUUUUUGCCUUUUAAAUUUGUUAGGAUGUGUUUUCUGGUCAAGGAUGCGGUCUCUCUUGGUGAAUGUUCCAUGUGAACAGCAGAAUCUUCUGCUGUGGUUGGGUGGCGUGUUUCAUAAACAUCAAUUAGGUCUAGUGGAUUGAUAAGGUCAACUAUAUCGUACUGAUUUUCUGCCUGCUUGGUCUAUCAGUUCCCGGAAGAUGGAUGUUGAUGUCUUUGGAAUCUACUCUGGAGCCCUGAACUGCUGUCUCCUUUACGGCCUCCCAGUUUGUGGAAACCUGGGUUCUGACCACACAACCAUCUCUGUGUCUCCACCACAGAGAGCGUGUGCUCUUUACCAGGGAGCCUGUGGUCUGCAUGCUGAGUUUUCAGGCUCAGUUUCUAUUGAACAUUUACUGGUCAAGAAAUGGCCUGAGUUGGGGUUUCUUAGGUCCUAGUUUGACAUUUCUCCACCAAUUUGACCUUUUUGGCUCUGGAAAAUGUAGCCCAAUGUGGUUCAGCCCUCGUUGGAAAAAACCCAGGAGGAGAAGUCUGAUAAUAGCAUAGAAGGCAUAGGAGGAAGGGCAAGAGUUUGAGACCAUCUAGAAGGGCCCCAUGCGCACUGAUCCUUUUCUGUCUAUGGGGUCCUAGAACACUCUCAUCCAAGGCUCUUCUCUUGGAACGCUCACCGUUGGUCAGCCAUAUAGUUCUUCAUCCUCUGAAAAAUACAGCUGUGCCCUCACCUUCCACAACCCAUCUCUAACCACAUCAACUCUCCAUUUUCAUGUUUUCUGGGAUUUUGUGGACAAGGACAUUUCUGCCCUCGCAGAGAUGCUGUUGACUAGCCAAAGACACCAGUUGGCUGUGGACAGAAUCCCAGUGCACAAAAUCUGAGUGUGGAAGGUUCUCGCAGGUCCUAUAACCCAACCCUUCACUUCAGAGAGAGGCACCCAAAGGGAACACGACUCUCACAAGCUGCUUAGCUCAUCGGGGCAGGAGGAUGGUGGGUCAGCGUGGGCUCCAUCCUGAGGCCCAAGGCAGAGCCCUUGAGCCCUUCCCUCCUCAGCUGUACUUUCCUGCUAAAGCAGGGGGUUAUUUGGGAGAGGCUGGGGUCCAUGCACACGAUUCCCAUGAGGCAGAAACAGUGGGUGCUUUCACUUAGUCUCCCAUUACAAAAUGAUGCCAAAGAAAACUCCUCCCCCACCCCCGCCAAAAAUAAGCUCCUUGGGUUGGAAGAUGACCAAAAAGCUAUCCGUAUAAUGACUGACUUCUCCUCUCAAGAGUUCUAAGCACCUAUGAAUGCCCUUGAACCAUAAUUACAAUGCUCGUGCUAAAAAGAAAAAAAUUAGUAUAAAUAUAGUGGUGGGCACACCAGAUAAACCAGGGCUGAGAUGCUUCAAUGUCUUCUAAGCUGUGGUCUGAUUUUCCUCUCUCAGCAUAAAGACUCUUUUGAAUCUCUUUUCACCGUACUGUUUAGACGUCAUGGGAAAUGCAUUUAUACGUUUGAUGGCAUACUGCACUAUGACAGUGUUUGAAAGUUAUAAAUACACUUUAAUCACAUCAAAAAUAAAAGAAGAAAAAAGAUUCAGGAUUCCACCAUUAUUCCAGCAGCUUCAUCAUUUCUGUCCCCAGCAUUACCACCAUUUGGUUAACUAGUCCUUCUUGGUGUCCAUUUGGGCCACGUUUGCCCCAAAACAAACAUUUUUGUGUUCAUGGUUAUUUCUCAAUCUAGGGUUAUUCUUCUGGGAUAGAUACUAAGAAGUGCAAUGACUGGAUGGAAGGUUAAGUUUCUUUUAUGGCCCUUGGUGUAUGGCAAGGGCCAUACAUUUUUUUCCAGGGGGUUGCCAAAUUAUUUUCCAGGGGGUUGUACCCAUAUCCGUUGCCGUCAGCUAUAGAAUUACCCACCUCCUAAGUCACUGACAGCUGGGGCAGAAGAAGCCAAGAAGAAAUUCUCCUGAAAGAAAUCCUUCAGGAUAAAUGGAAUAGGAUGGUACCAAAACGGUCACUCUGCUCAGUCAGUAAAUGACCUGGUCUGUCUUGAAGUGAUUUUUAUUCCCAGAUUGACUGCUUUUAGGAGAUAUGCAAUGUUUGGGGUAGAAUGAGAACUUUUAAAGUUUGAUUUUACCUGCGGAUGGAGUUGUGAUUACAGACUGGAAGGGGGAUUGUGUGGUCGUCGGGUCAUCUGGCCCAACACUUGUGUUUUCAUUGAGGGGCCAGGACCAUUGAGGGGAUGUGAAAGCCCGAGGUCACAAGCCAGGCUGUGACAGAGCCUCUGAGUUUCUGGACGCCCAGCCCACGGCUCUCUGCACUCAGCCUCCCGGAUGCCAGCUCUGUCCAGGAUGCAGGAGGAGGCCAGACUGUUUGUGCUUGUUUGGAAAAGUGAGCAAUAUGUUUAUUCGAUUGUUUGGUUACACAUAGACCGAAAUACAACUGGAGCGUCAUACAUAAAAUGCAAUUCUCUAGUAGCCACAUUAAAGAAGUAAAAAGAAACAGUGACUUUUUUCUUUUUUUUUUUUAAUGCCGUUCUAUUGAGAUAUUAUUCACAUACCAUAAAAUUCACCCUUUUAAAGCGGAUAGAUCAGAGUUUUUAUAUACUUACAGAGUAGUGCAACUGUCAUCACUGUGCAAUUCUAGAAUACUUUCCUCACUCCAGAAAGCAGCCCGGUACCGGUUAGCAGUCACCACAUACUUCCUUUCUGCCCUAGGCAACCACUAAUCUCUGUCUGUCUCUAUGAAUUUCCCUAUUCUGGACAUGGGACAUUUCAUAUAAAUGGAAUCAUACAUUUGUGGUCCUUUGUAACUGGCUUCUUUCACUGACCGUAAUGUUUUCAAGGUUCAUCCACGUUGCGUGUGUCCAUGCUUCAUUCCGUUUUAUGAUCGAAUAAUAUUCUGUUGUGUGACUGUAGUAAGGCCAGACUUUUAUUUUAUCUCCUCUUUCUGCUGGGGAAAUCCUAAUCCCAGCCCCAGAAGUCACCUUGACAGUGACUAGACGGCUCAGAUGGCUCAGAAGAAACUGGAGCACAGGAUGCAGGAAGCCAGCCUGGAAAAUAAGAAUAUUCCAUAAGGAUGGGAAUUACAUACUGAAAGGAAAAGAUCAGGAAGUGCACUUUUCAGAUUUAUUAGAUCAUAUGAUAUUUUUUUGGAGCUGGAAAUAAUGUUGGAAAUGGUCUAGUCUGUCCCUCGUCUUACUGAUGAGGUAACUGAGACCCAGAGAGGGGAAGUGGCUUGUCUUGGGUCUUUACUUCUCACUUGAGCCAAAGAUUCCUUCUGACUUUUGUCUCAGUUUUACAAGUUACCCUCCUCACACCUCGAAGACAAUGCUCAUCAGCAAACGGGCAGGGGGUACCUCUCAGGAAGAACUGUGCCCUUCCUGGACGGAGGGCCUUGCUUCACCAUCACAUCCCCGCUUCUCCUUUCCCAAGCCCCAGGCCAACCCUCCCGGACCAGGGGCUACAGGAGGGUGGCUGCUGACAGCUCAGGAGUGUGUCCCAGACCCUUAAUAAAUGGACCCAUCACCGCCCAGCCCGCUGGUCGCAGCUGGAGGCUUCGGGAGCCUGCGCUGGCUUGGCCACUUCAGACACAACAACCGGGAGGAAGGAGCUGGAGCGGGAAGGGAACCCAGCUGAGAAAUCUGGGGAGGUCAGGACGGGAGCCAGGUGCUAAUCAGGAGGAAAGUUAAUGGUGUUUUUGUGAGCGGAGCAGUCAGCUGUUUCCUCAAAGAUGAUGAUAGACGCAUCAUUCGGGUGUUCAGGAGACUUCUGAAAAAGGAAAUCGUGCGGUGGAGCUGAUGGGAAACUUCUUUUUCUGACUAUUUUCCUGACAUCCGACAGGUCAGAAAACAACGAUUAAAGGCAACGAUACCCAGCAAACCCAAGCAUUCACCAUGAGGAUGCAAGCGAGGACUUUUUUUUUUGCCAGCGAGAGUGAAAAGCGGUUAUCAAUGACAGGCACCUUUAGACAUAGACGCAUUGUUCUGGAAAAGGCGUCUUUUGCCAGUAGAGCUGAAGCUGCAGAGAACUGGGCCGUGCGCAUGACUGACGGCCAGCUGGCCGGGUGCCCCCCGAAAGCCGUUCCUCCUCCAGAGAGGCUGCUUAGACGUGUUCGGGUCGCCUUUUUCCCCCUUCACUUCACCUGCCGAGUCUUUUCCAGCAUCACCGGCAGCAGCCUGGUCCCAGCCCCUGCAAACAGUCACUCGCUCAGGGCCCAUGGAUAGGGGGGACGGGUUUGCAGUCUGAGGUCUGGCGUCAGGCGAGCUUUUCCCGCUCUGAGCCGUCUGAGAGACCGCGCCGGAAAGCCAGGGGCUGCCGGGCCUUGGAAGUGCCGGUGUGGGCUGGAAAUUGAGGCCAGGCUCCCGGGCUCCUCCCCCCUCUGCCUCCUUUAUUCAUUAGGAGCAGAGAAAUGGGUCACACGUAACUCUCCUGAAUUUUACUUCUUCAUUUGUCUGCAAAAGACAGAGAGUGUAGUGGUCCAUCAUCCAUUAUGCAUCUUAAAAAAAAAUAACAGUUGCUACCUGCGAAUUCAGUUUCUUUUGACAAAAAUAGGGCUGAGGGCCCUUGGCCAUGGGAAGCUUGAUUCCAAAGCUGUGUCUUUUCUGUUUUGAUCUGUCUCACUUAGAUUUGCAGACGGUGGCCCUGAGAGGUACAGGACUUUAAGGUGAUUGUAGACGUCAGCCGGCUGCCUUGGUCACAGCCAAGUGAUGCCUCUCUCUCCUGAGCGUUUUCCCUGCAGGGUUCAGAGAAACCUAGCUGCACGGGCCCCUCUGCCCUGGAAUCUGCAGCCGCAGCACUGAUUAGAAUGGGGGUCUGGUUUCCUGGAAUGUGCAAGGUCUCGCUGCUGUUUCUGCUGUCUCCACGCUCCAGACCAGCGUUGGGCCAGACUCUGGGUUGGAGCCGUGGCUGACAGGUUUUCCUUGGAAUUUAAUGGAGGGGGACGGACAGAAUCCAGUCACUCAAACUGAAAGCAUGGAGAAGAUGAGUCUUGCAGGGCAUCUCUGCUGCGGUCACUGAGUUACGCUUUUUUUUUUUUCUCCCCCAGGCAACCACUCUUGCAAAAAGGAGGCCCCGUCCCCUUUGCACUUCAUGCAUCCUUAGCCAUUAGGGACCUGUUUAAAUUGAUUUGUCUCCUGACCCUCAGGGAGAAAGCAGUCAAAGUUCGGCAGAAGAGGAAGCAUUCUGGGUUUCUCUGCUGUCCCGGCUCCUUUAACUGUAGCCCGCCUGAUCUCUGUCUCCCCCUCAGGUGGUCUGGCCUCCUCCUCCUGUGCCCCUCAGGGUCCACACACGGAAGGAAGAGAGGGCUGGACUGGAAGUGUCGGGGGACUGGGGCCGAGCAGGAGGGAGGCUGCCCUGACCGGCCUGCCACAGUCCUUUGGCAAGUAGACCCUGGAUGAAUCCAGCCAUCAUUCUGGCUGAGCUGCUUUCUUCCCGUUUUGUCCUUUCCCCUGCAUCUUGUCGACUUGCUACGAUUAGUAGUCUUUAAAGUAUGACUGACUUUGCGGGCGUUUAAAGUUGAAGAAAUUAGGUGAAAAAUCACAAGUGAGUUCUUCCCUUUCUCUGUGGAGCUGAGAGGGACCUUGGAAGCCACCCGAUUAAGCCUCCGUAUUUUAAAGAGGAGGAACCUUCGGCACGAGGGGCUUGCCGCGGUCGCACGGGUUGCCUCACGGAGUGUGAGCUGUACCAGGCAUCUUAGAUCACAGGAGGGGGGUGUCUGCCCGCUAGCAUAUGGGACGUUUCCUCGGCUCCUGUAGACUGACUGCCUGUGGGCUCCUGGGCUCAGCCAGAUUAGGGCAGCAUCUCCAUCAGGUCCUGAGCACGUGUGAUGCUUCUCAGUACUUCAUGUGCACUUCGGGUUUUAAAACAGAUGAGUUUGGAAAGUAGGCAGGGCCAGCUUCAUGGGUGUGCCACCCCCUCAGGAGGAGCCCACCCCUGGCUUAAUGCUCUGCUGUGACCAGCUUGGAAUUCUUAAUAAUUUUGGAACAAGGGCCCUCCACGUUUUCCUUUUGCACUGGGCUCUGCAAAUUAUCUAGCUGGUCCUAAAUGUGGGACGGUUUUUGAGAACAUGCUGUUCCCGUUGAAUAAAGGAGGAUUUAUUUCUUUU